ACCAAAGUAAAAGCAAAGAGAAGGAGAAAGAGAAAGAAGAAGACGGAGAAGGAGAGCAAGGAAGGAAGAGGAAGGGAGAAGCAAGGGUUUCCUACCAACUAAGGAGUAGAACCAAGAGGUGACGAGACACGGCGCGAGGCCAUCAGCGGUCCAUCAUCACCUAGGACUCAAGAUGUUGGUUCAGGUAACCCUUUGGAAACUGUGAUUGAGGAUCCGGCUCUCUACGGAGGUGACCUCUGGGGAUGAGGAGCUGGUUGCACACGAGGAUGGAUGCGUAUGCGAUGGCUGUGCAUUUGGAGCACGUUGAGGAUGGGAGUAUCAUUUUCUC